ensembl:rRNA 5S_rRNA 5S ribosomal RNA
GUCUACGGUCAUGCCACCUUGAAUGUUCUCGAUCUCGUCUGAUCUCGAAAGAUAAGCAGAGUUCGGCCAGGUUAGUGUUUGGAUGGGAGACCACCUAGGAAUACCAGGUGCUGUAGGAA